rnacentral:rRNA from 1 species
UACGGAGGGUGCUAGCGUCACUCGGAAUCACUGGGCGUAAAGGGCGCGUAGGCGGCCUAGCAAGUCUGGCGGGAAAGCCCAGGGCUCAACCCUGGAAGGGCACUGGAAAUUGUUAGGCUUGAGUUCCGAAGAGGAGGGGGGAAUUCCCGGUGUAGUGUUGAAAUACGUAGAUGUCAGGAGGAAUACCGGUGGCGAAGGCGCCCCUCUGGACGGAAACUGACGCUGAUGCGCGAAAGCGUGGGGAGCAAUCAGG